ensembl:lncRNA
UUUUUUUUUUUUCAUUUUUUUUUCAUAAAGGCAUGUGUUAUCUUCGACAAGAUCUCAGCCAAUUUUAGUCUGGCUCUACCAGGCUCUGGGCAUUUGUCUAGGCUGGGAUCUCUUGUGAGUGGAGUAAAGGUGGAGACUCUAUGGGCUUUACCAACUGAUGUUCUGCUAGAAGCUUUACCUGCUCUGAGCCUUCAGACACCUGGGCUCACCCCCCCACAGGUCAACACUAUCAUCUCCAAACUCUGGGCUUCUAGUUCUGUGUCCCAGUGGAUGGAUAAAGUCAAACCUUUGCUCUCUAGCACUCCACUCCUGAGUGUGAUUGCCCAAGUCCCUCUGCUGCUGAUCAAAGACACUGCUGUACACACUCGCCUCUGGAACACACAGCAGGUAUGUUCUAGUCCAGUCAUACACACUUCAUUUAUCAACCACAAUUACAGUACAAUUAUAGUUUUUUUGGUCAUUUUAUACUUAUUUGCAUACUGAAUUUUGAUUGGUCUU